AACGCACCUUGCGCUCGCUGGUAUUCCGGCGAGCAUGCCUGUUUGAGUGUCAUGAACUCUUCAACCCUUCGGUUCCUUGUUGAACUUGUGAGGUGUUUGGAUUUUGAAUGUUGCUGGUCCUUCUUUCUUCGGAAUUAGGGCGAAGCUCGUUCGUAAUACAUUAGCAUCUACUGAAUCUUGAUUCGGAUUGACUCGGCGUAAUAGACUUUUAUUCGCUGAGGACACUUUGAAAGAGGUGGCCGAAUCUAAACCCAAGUUGAAGCUUCUAAAAGCAGUCUACUAUUUUUAUAAGAUUAGACCUCAGAUCAGGCAGGACUACCCGCUGAACUUAA
rnacentral:misc_RNA from 1 species